UACGAAGGGGGCUAGCGUUGUUCGGAAUUACUGGGCGUAAAGGGCGCGUAGGCGGCACUGUUAGUCAGGCGUGAAAGUCCUGGGCUCAACCUGGGAACUGCGCUUGAUACGGCAGAGCUAGAGGAUGGAAGAGGGUCGCGGAAUUCCCAGUGUAGAGGUGAAAUUCGUAGAUAUUGGGAAGAACACCGGUGGCGAAGGCGGCGACCUGGUCCAUUACUGACGCUGAGGCGCGACAGCGUGGGGAGCAAACAGG
rnacentral:rRNA from 1 species